AAGGAAUGCACACUGUAGACCCUAUAAAUCCAGAGAAAUGGUUCAUCCAGUGGGAAAGGACAACUCCAAGGUCCCAGCCCUGUAAGGACUGA
rnacentral:lncRNA from 1 species